AGUCAAUAGAUACCCUGGUAGUCCAUGCCGUAAACGAUGAUUGCUAGGUGUGGGGGGUCUGACCCCUUCCGUGCCGGAGUUAAACACAAUAAGCAAUCCACCUGGGGAGUACGGCCGCAAGGUUGAAACUCAAAGGAAUUGACGGGGGCCCGCACAAGCAGUGGAGUAUGUGGUUUAAAUUCGAAGCAACGCGAAGAACCUUACCAGGUCUUGACAUCCACCGAAUCCUGUAGAGAUACGGGAGUGCCCUUCGGGGAGCGGUGAGACAGGUGGUGCAUGGUUGUCGUCAGCUCGUGUCGUGAGAUGUUGGGUUAAGUCCCGCAACGAGCGCAACCCUUGUGAAUAGUUGCUACGAAAGAGCACUCUAUUCAGACCGCCGUUGACAAAACGGAGGAAGGUGGGGAUGACGUCAAAUCAUCAUGCCCCUUAUGACCUGGGCUACACACGUACUACAAUGGUCGUCAACAGAGGGAAGCAAGACCGCGAGGUGAGCGAACCCCGUAAAAACCGAUCUCAGUUCAGAUUGCAGGCUGAAACUCG
rnacentral:rRNA from 1 species